rnacentral:rRNA from 1 species
UACGUAGGGGGCAAGCGUUGUCCGGAUUUAUUGGGCGUAAAGAGCUCGUAGGCGGUUUGUCGCGUCUGCUGUGAAAACUGGAGGCUCAACCUCCAGCCUGCAGUGGGUACGGGCAGACUAGAGUGCGGUAGGGGAGAUUGGAAUCCUGGUGUAGCGGUGGAAUGCGCAGAUAUCAGGAGGAACACCGAUGGCGAAGGCAGAUCUCUGGGCCGUAACUGACGCUGAGGAGCGAAAGCAUGGGGAGCGAACAGG